UACGUAAGUGGCAAGCGUUGUCCGGAAUUAUUGGGCGUAAAGCGCGCGCAGGCGGUCCUUUAAGUCUGAUGUGAAAGCCCACGGCUCAACCGUGGAAGGUCAUUGGAAACUGGAGGACUUGAGUACAGAAGAGGAAAGCGGAAUUCCACGUGUAGCGGUGAAAUGCGUAGAGAUGUGGAGGAACACCAGUGGCGAAGGCGGCUUUCUGGUCUGUAACUGACGCUGAGGCGCGAAAGCGUGGGGAGCAAACAGG
rnacentral:rRNA from 1 species